CUCCUUGACUCUUUUCUUACAAAGCGCAAAAGGCAAGUGUCUUCAGGAAUGAUGACAGGAUUUAUAAUCAUAACUUGUAUUUACUGAACAUUUUCUAUGUACUAAGGCCUUUAUGUGGAUUGUUUGUAGCGAGACCUUAACAAGCAACUACCUGUAAAGGAUGCCUUUUAAAUGCUCCCAUUUUGCAGAUGAGGAAACUGAGAAUCCCAUAAUGUGGCAUUGUUGAUGCCCAAGCAUCGUGUUUUCGAGGCUUGUCUGGGUUGGAGUCUGUCCCCUCCUGGUGACAGACGCCCUGACGGGUGGCAGGUCCACCGCUGAGGCAUCCGUGGUCCUCCGGCCUCGGUCCCACACCGGCGUUUUUCCUGGCUCCCUGGUGUUCACGGUGGACUUAGUGUAACUUGUUUCUACACUCCGUGUUGUUGGGCGUGUGGGUUGUUUCUACUCGGUCACGCCCUGGCUUUCUCCGCAGGUGGCCCCUGCUGACGGCCACCCUGCCUGGCCCUGGGAAGAGCUCUGUCCUCUCCAAGCCUCAGUUUCCUUAUUGGCAAAACAAAUAGGAUCGGACAGUCCAGAGCCCCGCCUUCUAAAGCCUCUGUGCCUGUGGUUCAAGGCCAAGGGUCUGAGAGAAGGGAUUCUGGGCAGCUCCUGCCCAGAGAGGGUCACGGGCAUUGGGGGUGCCUCUUCCUCCCGCCAGAUGUGGAGUCAAGCUCUCCCUCUGGCCUUACCCUGUCCCUCCUGCCUGGUCGGUCCCAUUUCUGGCCCUCCCCUCCCCCUCCUUCCCCAUCCCUCACCCCUGCGUCUGCUUAGCUACCUGCUUCUGCCCAUCACCACCUGCCCAAGGACGGGCGGAUUGAGUUCUCCGAGUUCAUCCAGGCGCUGUCGGUGACCUCGAGGGGAACCCUGGACGAGAAGCUGCGGUGGGCCUUCAAGCUCUACGACUUGGAUAACGACGGCUAUAUCACCAGGAACGAGAUGCUGGACAUUGUGGAUGCCAUUUACCAGAUGGUGGGCAACACCGUGGAGCUGCCAGAGGAGGAGAACACCCCCGAGAAAAGGGUGGACCGGAUCUUUGCCAUGAUGGACAAGAACGCCGACGGGAAGCUGACGCUGCAGGAGUUCCAGGAAGGCUCCAAGGCAGACCCGUCCAUCGUGCAGGCGUUGUCCCUCUAUGACGGGCUGGUAUAGUCCAAGGCCCAGAGUGGGAUGCCUGGGAACCACUCGCCUCCUCCCGUGCCAUGAGGCCGCCUCCGCCCCGACGCCACCCUCCCGUGCCCAUCCCGCCUUUCUCCGCAUCCACACCCGGCCGGGCUGCCCCGGGACGGCGAGGCCCGGCUCUCCUCUGCCCUGCCCCGCACACACCCGCCGCCUGAAGCCACCGGCUCCAAUUGCCAACAUCCUUUGCUUGUCCAGAAAACACCACCACGGAUGGGAAAAGGCUUCCAGCCCUCUGCAAAACCAAGGACUCGGCUGCUUCGCAGGCAGCCUCUCGGUCCCUCCUGCUCUCCUGCGUGUGUGCUUUUUUUUUUUCUAAUUUCAAAUAGACAAUUGAAAAAGGAAAAACAAACAAACAAACAAACUACCUUCUGUCCUAGAAGAUUCAGACUGACAGAUGGGGAGAAGGCCUCGGGGAGAACUCUGCCUCCCGCCUCGACCUUUGCAGCCGGAGAACCCACUGCGGUCAUGGCCUCGGCCACGGUCCCUCGGGGCUGUGGCGCGGGGCGGGGGGCGCCUGCCUGCCGAACGGGGUUUGUCGUCUCAUCCUCGAGCAGCCAAACCACCUGUGUGGCUAGGAUGAUGAAUUACGAUGAUGCUGAUUUUUUGUGAUAACAGUAUUGUGCUAUUUGUGGGAAAAGUGAGGGUUUUUUUUUUUAUAUAUAUAUACCUAUCUAAUUGAUCUCUUUUAUUUAUUGGUUGUUAACUGUUGCUGCUGCCUCGUGUGUCCAGCGCUCCGGGGAUGCGGAGCCCACCGUUUACACGUGCUUGGGAGGAUGGUGGCUGGCAGCGGCCAAGAAGCCAAAAACCUUUUUGUUUUCUUCUUUUGAGAUACUGUGCUUCAUGUUUGGAGAGGGGCAAGGUGGGCUUCUGAAAUGGCUAAUGCACUGUUCCCCCAGCCCGAAUGUCUCCUCUUUAGAACUCUUUCUCUGCCCCCAGUUCCCACAUCUCUCUGUCCCGUGUUGUCCUCUGGGUCCAACAGGGACCAUCUCUCAGUUUCUCGGCUCUCGCUUUGGUGUUGGCGGUGACGUGGGGGAUGGCGGGGCUUGUGCUGAGCCUGGGAGCCAGGACAGGGGCCUGGGUACCUAAGGAGCGAGGGAAGAGGGGGUGACAGGUGUAAAGGCUGCCUCUCCGUCCUUGGCGGCUUUUGAGAAUAGGGGCUCCCGCCUUCCUGCUCCCUCAUCCAGUGUGGACAGUAUCCCUCUGCCCUUCCUUCUUUUAGCUCAAAAGCUGGGAAGGAGCAGGGAGAGAAGGGACUUGGAGAAUCCUGUUCACGUAGCUUCUCGGGCCGUGGCCCAUGUGUGUUCACAGGAAGCUUCUAGCCCUGCCUGCCGCUGAGACAGGGCAGCCUCAGAACUGUCGGCAGGAAAGCCAGAUGACUUUGGACCAGGAACUAGGUGCCCAAGGCUGGCCCUUUGCUCUGUGCCUGGGGGCACGCCCCUGCCCUCUCUGGGCCCCAGCUGCCCCAGCCGCAGAGCCAAGAAGCCUGGACUGGCGGAUCUGAAGGCUCUCCUCUGGUUGAUGCUAAUUCUAAGCUUGGGUUUCCUGCAGUUGGUGAUUCUGCGGUCUGUGGCUGAGUUUCCUGAGCCCAGCAGAUGUGGGCACUGUCUGGGUUGCUGUUUUGUCCCUUGGCAUGAAUCUCCAGGGACAUGGCAGCCGCUGGUCGCGGUGUGUGGGUUCAGAUGACACAUCUGGUCCCUCCCCGCGGUGCUUCCUGGUUCCUCCUGCCCUCGGGAGCUAUUUUGCAGCCCCAAGCUCGACCUCACCCAGGGAAGGCUUCCAGCGGGAGAAGCAGUCUCCCAGAAUGUGCAGGGCCGGGCCGGAGUCUAGAAUCCCUGCUUCUCCUUUGCAAAGUCAGCAUCCAUCUUUUUCUGCUCAUCGCGGCCCCAGGAGAGGAGAAGCUGGCCCUCGCCCCAACUUGGAAUUUUCUUUGGCGUCCAUUUUGCUCUUCCCCAGGAGGCCAGAGCUUCUCUAGCUCGUGAGUCCUCAGCCAGCAGACCCUCUGCCUGAGAGCAGCUCUGCCAGUGGGGGGCUCGUGUGUCCGCUCCUGUAGGCUGGACUGCGAGGCCAGCCCUUACCUCUUCCUUCUUGCGUUCCUUCGCGGGCCCUCUGGCUGCCCUCUGCCUCCAAUGGAAGCCCCCCCCCCGCCCCCUACCCCUAAUCCUGCAGAGACAGGUGCAGUAGUUCCAUUUUCACAGGCGACUUUGAAGCCUGGGUUCUUUGAGGCCCCUGCAGUCACCGACCUGCUCCGGCCGCUGGCCCAGGAGGCCCAGGACUCACCACCAAAUCCCGCAGUUCCUCAGCCUGGCUCUGACCUGGGGCCCUAGGGCAGGAGGUGAGCUUGGUGGCUUGGGGCCGGCGGGGAGAGGGGAGCGGGGCCUUCCUCCAGGUCAGCUGACUUCUCUGGCCUCCGCCUGAGCCUCGAUUUGCCUCUCCGGCCCAGUGGGCAGGGGCUGUCGUGCAGCCUGCCCUGGAGGCAUCGCGGUAAAGGGCUUGCGGCCGAGAAUGAGCCAGGGUUAAGCAUGCGGGGCCCGCCAGCUGAGGCGUCCGUCCCCAGGCAUCCAGGGAGAUCUGCGUGCAAGGCUUCCCUCCCACCUCCUCGCCUUUUGGCCUUUUGUUUUGGAGCCAUGGGUGUGGCUUUUGGCCUUAGCUGGCAGUACCAUGGAUGCACGCCCCAGGCACACCGAGUCCACCCCCGGAGACGGUCCAGAGCUGCCAGUCGGAGGCCGCUCUUCUUCCUGGCAGGGGGCUGGACACUGGCCAUUUUUGCCCAAGGUUGCUGGCAGGGGGCAGUUCUGUCCCCUCCUCUGACCGGAUCUCUAGCUGCAGCACCCUGGGAGCCCUGAGCAGCCUGUGGGCCUCGCUCCUCAGCCCCAUGUUGCACCUGAGGCCCACCCCCAUCAGCUGCUGCUCUCUGGGGCUGCCUGAUCAGCCGGGAGCCAGGCUCUCUGUCCCUCUGCUGACCCUUGCUCUCCAGCCCAGGAGCAGGGACCAGCCUUGGGCAGCCCAUCUGCAGUGGCCCUGGUCUCUUUCUCACCGUGUCCGCUGCUCACUCCGUGUUGAUGGUACUUAGAGAACGCCGCGAGUUUGUAGUAUUUCACCAGGCAAUGUUUAGAGUCGUGUCGAAAGGCAAACCUGUGUGUCCUCUUUCUUUUCAUUUUGACAGCCAACUGCCUAGAUGACAGAUGCACCUGGGCUUUCGGGGACAUUGUGUCUUCUCUAGGGGGUUGGGGGAUGGGAAGAGGCAGAAAAAGCCCCACUGCUCACCUAGAGGAAAGCCACCUGAUUCCCAGCGGUUUCAGUGUCUAAGGGAUGGAAGGGAAGGCGGGCACGCCCCCUGGUGGCGAUGAGCCGUGACGGCAUGUGGGGGCCCUGACCUGCCGCAUAGGUGAUUUGAGAGGGGAGGCUGCGGAUGGGGAGGUGAAGAGGGGGCUGUGAUCUCACCCAGACCCUGGGCUUCCUGCCCCACCUUUUGGCAGCAUGUCUCCCAGACGCCUCUCUUCCUGAUCAACCCCGGGGGAUGGCAAGUGAAUUAGCAUCAAAGGCGCUGUGAUGAGAAGCCUCGCCCCACCCUUUUUUAAUAUCUGCGGAAUAAACGCAAUGGUUGAUUUUUGAACGAAUAAAAGGCUUUUGU
ensembl:lncRNA